rnacentral:rRNA from 1 species
UGAGGAAUAUUGGUCAAUGGACGAGAGUCUGAACCAGCCAAGUAGCGUGAAGGAUGACUGCCCUAUGGGUUGUAAACUUCUUUUAUACGGGAAUAAAGUGAGGCACGUGUGCCUUUUUGUAUGUACCGUAUGAAUAAGGAUCGGCUAACUCCGUGCCAGCAGCCGCGGUAAUACGGAGGAUCCGAGCGUUAUCCGGAUUUAUUGGGUUUAAAGGGAGCGUAGGCGGACGCUUAAGUCAGUUGUGAAAGUUUGCGGCUCAACCGUAAAAUUGCAGUUGAUACUGGGUGUCUUGAGUACAGUAGAGGCAGGCGGAAUUCGUGGUGUAGCGGUGAAAUGCUUAGAUAUCACGAAGAACUCCGAUUGCGAAGGCAGCUUGUUGGACUGUAACUGACGCUGAUGCUCGAAAGUGUGGGUAUCAAACAGGAUUAGAUACCCUGGUAGUCCACACAGUAAACGAUGAAUACUCGCUGUUUGCGAUAUACAGUAAGCGGCCAAGCGAAAGCGUUAAGUAUUCCACCUGGGGAGUACGCCGGCAACGGUGAAACUCAAAGGAAUUGACGGGGGCCCGCACAAGCGGAGGAACAUGUGGUUUAAUUCGAUGAUACGCGAGGAACCUUACCCGGGCUUGAAUUGCAACUGAAUGAUGUGGAGACAUGUCAGCCGCAAGGCAGUUGUGAAGGUGCUGCAUGGUUGUCGUCAGCUCGUGCCGUGAGGUGUCGGCUUAAGUGCCAUAACGAGCGCAACCCUUAUCGAUAGUUACCAUCAGGUUAUGCUGGGGACUCUGUCGAGACUGCCGUCGUAAGAUGUGAGGAAGGUGGGGAUGACGUCAAAUCAGCACGGCCCUUACGUCCGGGGCUACACACGUGUUACAAUGGGGGGUACAGCAGGCAGCUACCGGGCGACCGGAUGCCAAUCCCGAAAGCCUCUCUCAGUUCGGACUGGAGUCUGCAACCCGACUCCACGAAGCUGGAUUCGCUAGUAAUCGCGCAUCAGCCACGGCGCGGUGAAUACGUUCCC